UCCCUGGUGGUCCAGUGGCUAAGACUCCGCUCUCCCAAUGCAGGUUCGAAUCCAGGUUCAAUCCCUGGUCAGAGAA
rnacentral:tRNA from 1 species